GGCAACAUUCUGCAAAUCAGCAACACAGGAAUAUGCUGUAAAAGUCAGGGGUUCCUUGUUGAACGACAGGGCAGACAUACAGAACGAAAACGUCCAGUUUGAAAACUCUGCAAUCUGUUGACUGAAGCUAUGCAACCUUAUUGGCUACAAAAGCAGUGUCUUAAACUGCUGGGACGAGGCCGGAAACAAGUACAAGGAAUGAUGGACGCUCUAAUCUAUGUGUUUAACAAGGAAGCCUUGCCAAAGGGUAGCUGGAAUUCGAAAAACGCUCUGCAAAUGUAAAAUUGUAACUGUACUGCAGAACUCUAGUUCCCAACAGUGAAUUCCCCUGGCCAAUAAAGUGUAUACACAGUUAAGAAACACACUGCUGAAAGGUUGUUCAUUUCCAUUCUCCACAACUAUGCAGCAAACAAUUGCCAUGCAAUGUACUAUUGGCAAAUUAUAUGCCUUCAGCUAGAAGUACAUGAAAGAAAACAUGAAAAUGUCAAACAUUCAGAGUUAUAAAUAUGGUAGUGAUAUACUAUGCCAACCAGAGAGGCAGGGUUACUGGUUUUUCAAUAGGUAAUUUGUUCCAGAUAAACUUUGUUUUUAAUACUGCAGCAAUGACAUCACCCAAAAUGUACUAAGUGAGUGGUUUUCAACCUGUGGUCCACAGACCACUGAGGGGCUGCAGACUGUCUAAGGUUUCCACAGGGGCCCACACCUUCAUUUGAAAUUUUUUAGGAGUCCACAUAUUGAAAAAGGUUGAAAACCACUGUACUGAGUAGUUGUUCCUUGGCUUUUCAGCACAUGACCUGUCUGUGCAGAGAACACACAGCCUUUAGUGGGUUUGGUGAUUGUUUCAUUGCCUAAACAAAUAAUGGCUGCCAAAAAUAAUUAGAUAGAUAAUUGGAAUGUGACUUCCAGUUAAUUCUAAAGAAAUCACAUUUUUGUUCUAUUGGCCAAGGCAGGCCUCUCAACACAGACCUCACUCAAAUCCUACAAACUCUCAUACAGGUGUGUAGCUUAAAUGCCAAUCCUAAAAAACCUUACAUAUGUGCAUAACUUUAUGUAGGUGAGAAG